UACGUAGGGUGCGAGCGUUGUCCGGAAUUAUUGGGCGUAAAGAGCUCGUAGGCGGUGUGUCGCGUCGGCCGUGAAAACCUGCAGCUUAACUGCUGGCUUGCAGGCGAUACGGGCAGACUUGAGUACUGCAGGGGAGACUGGAAUUCCUGGUGUAGCGGUGAAAUGCGCAGAUAUCAGGGGGAACACCGGUGGCGAAGGCGGGUCUCUGGGCAGUAACUGACGCUGAGGAGCGAAAGCGUGGGUAGCGAACAGG
rnacentral:rRNA from 1 species